rnacentral:rRNA from 1 species
AACGUAGGAGACAAACGUUAUCCGGAGUUACUGGGCGUAAAGGGCGUGUAGGUGGUUUCGUAAGUCUGGCGUGAAAUUUUUCGGCUUAACCGGGAAAGGUCGUCGGAUACUGCAGAACUAGAGGACGGUAGAGGCGUGUGGAAUUCCGGGUGUAGUGGUGAAAUGCGUAGAGAUCGGCAGGAACACCCAGGGGGAAACCAGCCGACUGGGCAAGUGCUGACGCUGAGGUGCGAGAGCGUGGGGAGCGAACCGG